GUAGUCGUGGUCGAGUGGUUAAGGCGAUGGACUUGAAAUCCAUUGGGGUUUCACCGCGCAGGUUCGAAUCCUGCCGACUACG
rfam:Xenopus tropicalis strain Nigerian Chr10_contig_385, whole genome shotgun sequence.